rnacentral:lncRNA from 1 species
UUAUCUCAAAAAUAAAUUUUUAUUUAAGAUAAAUGUACAGUUCAUUUAGAGAAAAAUAAUUAUCUACAGGUCAGCAGGACUGGAUGUGUUUCAACAUGUGCCUUUACAACAGCGACGGUACUAAGACAGUGGUCUGGUGUGUGCGUGGGCCUCCUGAGGCAUCACAUGCUCUUAAGCCAUAUUUCUCAUAUCAAAUGUAAUGUUUAAAAGAGGCAAGAGAGUUCUGGGAAAGCCAGCCAUUUUGUUCAAACACAUUCUUUUCUCUCCAAGUGUACACAUAAAUUGAGAAGGAACCUGGGAAUCUAUCUUUUUCUUAAAGCUAUUCCUAUUUCUACUCGGAUGGCCAAGUAAAAGGAGUCUACCAAGUCUAGCAUCCUGAAGUCAUGGCUACACUUGAUCUUAGCCAAAAGGCCGAGAAGCAAUUGAAGUCAUGGCUUAACUGAGUUACACUGUGCUAUUCUGAUGCCACGCUACUGGCUUUAUCCUUCUGUGUACCAUCAUCCUGGUAGGAAAUCUAUAAUAAUUGAGAAACUGCAGACAUGCUCAGCAAACCUAUAGGAAAAGAGACUCAGCAAAUAUCCACUGUGAUAGCCAACUUAAUAUUUGCACUGGACAGCACCCUCUUCCUAGACCAUGGCUGCAAGCUUAUUUGGUUUGGAAUCACACAUGGUUCAUAGUCUUAGCUUUCACAUCUGCAAAACCAAGAUAAUAUUUGCUUAUUAGGGUUUCUGAGAAGCCCUAAUGAAAGACGAAGAGCACUUAUCUAGCACAAUAUUAAGCCUAUAGUAAGAGUUGAAGGGCCAUUAAAAACACGUCAAUAGCCAUUUAAACACUCUGCAGGCUCCAAUACUUGUUUUCAUGUCUUAGGAGGCACAAAGACAGACACACACCAGCUGUGACUCCAGGGUUUAAGGAUUUUCACCUGUAUUAAUUGAGCUUCCUUCCUGAAUUGGUGUGAUGGGAAAUGUGUAUCAGGGCUAAGUGCCCUUGUUACUCAUUGAGUGAAGCUUCCUGUCAUGCUCACUGGUGAGGGUACUUACCAGUUCCUGGGCUGUGUAACAACACACACUGACAGUCAUAGUCAAUACGUUUGCCCAGAUGCUAGCCGCUGUGCUGAGCUCUUAGAUUCCACUGCUGUAUCAUGCCAUUUCCCCAGUGAAUUUCUAUAUCUCCAUCCUAUAGAGAUGCUUAGUA